AGUGAACGCUGGCGGUAGGCCUAACACAUGCAAGUCGAACGGCAGCACAGUAAGAGCUUGCUCUUACGGGUGGCGAGUGGCGGACGGGUGAGGAAUACAUCGGAAUCUACUUUUUCGUGGGGGAUAACGUAGGGAAACUUACGCUAAUACCGCAUACGACCUACGGGUGAAAGCAGGGGAUCUUCGGACCUUGCGCGAUUGAAUGAGCCGAUGUCGGAUUAGCUAGUUGGCGGGGUAAAGGCCAACCAAGGCGACGAUCCGUAGCUGGUCUGAGAGGAUGAUCAGCCACACUGGAACUGAGACACGGUCCAGACUCCUACGGGAGGCAGCAGUGGGGAAUAUUGGACAAAGGGCGCAAGCCUGAUCCAGCCAUACCGCGUGGGUGAAGAAGGCCUUCGGGUUGUAAAGCCCUUUUGUUGGGAAAGAAAAGCAGCAGGUUAAUACCCCGCUGUUCUGACGGUACCCAAAGAAUAAGCACCGGCUAACUUCGUG
rnacentral:rRNA from 1 species